AAGCGGGUGAAAAGCCCGCUCGCCGGAAGACCAAGGGUUCCUGUCCAACGUUAAUCGGGGCAGGGUGAGUCGACCCCUAAGGCGAGGCCGAAAGGCGUAGUCGAUGGGAAACGGGUUAAUAUUCCCGUACUUGGUGUUACUGCGAAGGGGGGACGGAGAAGGCUAUGUUGGCCGGGCGACGGUUGUCCCGGUUUAAGCGUGUAGGUGUGUGUUCCAGGUAAAUCCGGUUCACUUUAACACUGAGGCGUGAUGACGAGGCACUACGGUGCUGAAGCAACAAAUGCCCUGCUUCCAGGAAAAGCCUCUAAGCAUCAGGUAACAUCAAAUCGUACCCCAAACCGACACAGGUGGUCAGGUAGAGAAUACCAAGGCGCUUGAGAGAACUCGGGUGAAGGAACUAGGCAAAAUGGUGCCGUAACUUCGGGAGAAGGCACGCUGACAUGUAGGUGAAGUGAUUUACUCACGGAGCUGAAGUCAGUCGAAGAUACCAGCUGGCUGCAACUGUUUAUUAAAAACACAGCACUGUGCAAACACGAAAGUGGACGUAUACGGUGUGACGCCUGCCCGGUGCCGGAAGGUUAAUUGAUGGGGUCAGCGCAAGCGAAGCUCCUGAUCGAAGCCCCGGUAAACGGCGGCCGUAACUAUAACGGUCCUAAGGUAGCGAAAUUCCUUGUCGGGUAAGUUCCGACCUGCACGAAUGGCGUAAUGAUGGCCAGGCUGUCUCCACCCGAGACUCAGUGAAAUUGAACUCGCUGUGAAGAUGCAGUGUACCCGCGGCAAGACGGAAAGACCCCGUGAACCUUUACUAUAGCUUGACACUGAACAUUGAGCCUUGAUGUGUAGGAUAGGUGGGAGGCUUUGAAGCGUGGACGCCAGUCUGCGUGGAGCCGACCUUGAAAUACCACCCUUUAAUGUUUGAUGUUCUAACGUGGACCCGUAAUCCGGGUUGCGGACAGUGUCUGGUGGGUAGUUUGACUGGGGCGGUCUCCUCCUAAAGAGUAACGGAGGAGCACGAAGGUUGGCUAAUCCUGGUCGGACAUCAGGAGGUUAGUGCAAUGGCAUAAGCCAGCUUGACUGCGAGCGUGACGGCGCGAGCAGGUGCGAAAGCAGGUCAUAGUGAUCCGGUGGUUCUGAAUGGAAGGGCCAUCGCUCAACGGAUAAAAGGUACUCCGGGGAUAACAGGCUGAUACCGCCCAAGAGUUCAUAUCGACGGCGGUGUUUGGCACCUCGAUGUCGGCUCAUCACAUCCUGGGGCUGAAGUAGGUCCCAAGGGUAUGGCUGUUCGCCAUUUAAAGUGGUACGCGAGCUGGGUUUAGAACGUCGUGAGACAGUUCGGUCCCUAUCUGCCGUGGGCGCUGGAGAACUGAGGGGGGCUGCUCCUAGUACGAGAGGACCGGAGUGGACGCAUCACUGGUGUUCGGGUUGUCAUGCCAAUGGCACUGCCCGGUAGCUAAAUGCGGAAGAGAUAAGUGCUGAAAGCAUCUAAGCACGAAACUUGCCCCGA
rnacentral:rRNA from 1 species